UCAGNCNGUACUCGUCGAAUANCUCUAGAUUAAGUUUGAUCAUGGCUCAGACCUGAAGCGCUUGCGUGUAGCAGCCUAACACAUGCAAGUCGAACGGCAGCACAGGAGAGCUUGCUCUCUGGGUGGCGAGUGGCGGACGGGUGAGGAAUACAUCGGAAUCUACUCUGUCGUGGGGGAUAACGUAGGGAAACUUACGCUAAUACCGCAUACGACCUACGGGUGAAAGCAGGGGAUCUUCGGACCUUGCGCGAUUGAAUGAGCCGAUGUCGGAUUAGCUAGUUGGCGGGGUAAAGGCCCACCAAGGCGACGAUCCGUAGCUGGUCUGAGAGGAUGAUCAGCCACACUGGAACUGAGACACGGUCCAGACUCCUACGGGAGGCAGCAGUGGGGAAUAUUGGACAAUGGGCGCAAGCCUGAUCCAGCCAUACCGCGUGGGUGAAGAAGGCCUUCGGGUUGUAAAGCCCUUUUGUUGGGAAAGAAAUCCAUCUGGCUAAUACCCGGGUGGGAUGACGGUACCCAAAGAAUAAGCACCGGCUAACUUCGUGCCAGCAGCCGCGGUAAUACGAAGGGUGCAAGCGUUACUCGGAAUUACUUGGGCGUAAGCGUGCGUAGCGUGGUCGUUUAGUCCGUUGUGAAACGCCCUGGGCUCAACUGGGAACUGCCGUGGAUCUGGGGCGACUUAGUGUGGUACAACGGGUACCGGAAUUCCCUGUGUUCCNCGGUGANAUCGUUAAGCAUCCGGAGGGAACUUCCUUGGGAAGNNGUUCUGACACCUGCCCUGGGCCCCUUCUGNCGUCUCGGGUUNCCCUGUGCNCCCCUACUAUUACUGUAGUUGCUGUGGCGCACCUNUAUUCCCGGCGCCGAGGAAGUUUGCCCGGGUUUUUCAU
rnacentral:rRNA from 1 species